AAAGGAAUAGACGGGGGCCCGCACAAGCGGAGGAACAUGUGGUUUAAUUCGAUGAUACGCGAGGAACCUUACCCGGGCUUGAACUGCAGGAGACAGUUGGCAGAGACGCCAUCAUCCCUUCGGGGCUCCUGUGGAGGUGCUGCAUGGUUGUCGUCAGCUCGUGCCGUGAGGUGUCGGCUUAAGUGCCAUAACGAGCGCAACCCCUUUCCACCGUUGCCAUCAGGUUAAGCUGGGCACUCCGUGGAUACUGCCGCCGCAAGGUGUGAGGAAGGUGGGGAUGACGUCAAAUCAGCACGGCCCUUACGUCCGGGGCUACACACGUGUUACAAUGGGGUGGUCAGCGUGUUGGUUGUGCGCAAGCACUUCCCAAUCAUUAAAUCUCCCCUCAGUUCGGACUGGGGUCUGCAACUCGACCCCACGAAGCUGGAUUCGCUAGUAAUCGCGCAUCAGCCACGGCGCGGUGAAUACGUUCCCGGGCCUUGUACACACCGCCCGU
rnacentral:rRNA from 1 species